rnacentral:rRNA from 1 species
GACAGAGGGGGCAGGCGUUGCUCGGAAUUACUGGGCGUAAAGGGCGCGUAGGCGGGAUGGUAAGUCGGUCGUGAAAUCCCUCGGCUCAACCGAGGAACGUCGAUCGAUACUACCGUUCUUGAGGAUUGCAGAGGAGACUGGAAUUCCCGGUGUAGCGGUGAAGUGUGUAGAGAUCGGGAGGAACACCGGUGGCGAAGGCGGGUCUCUGGACAGCAACUGACGCUGAGGCACGAAGGCCAGGGGAGCAAACGGG